GCUCCUGUAGUUAAAUGGAUAUAACAACGGUCUUCGGAACCGUGGUUGGGGGUUCGAUUCCCUCCGGGAGCA
rnacentral:tRNA from 1 species